rnacentral:rRNA from 1 species
UGGCGGACGGGUGAGUAAUACGUAGGAAUCUGCCCAGUAGUGGGGGACAACCCGGGGAAACCCGGGCUAAUACCGCAUACGCCCUACGGGGGAAAGCGGGGGACUUUCGGGCCUCGCGCUAUUGGAUGAGCCUACGUCGGAUUAGCUUGUUGGUGGGGUAAAGGCCCACCAAGGCGACGAUCCGUAGCUGGUCUGAGAGGACGAUCAGCCACACUGGGACUGAGACACGGCCCAGACUCCUACGGGAGGCAGCAGUGGGGAAUAUUGGACAAUGGGCGCAAGCCUGAUCCAGCAAUGCCGCGUGUGUGAAGAAGGCCUUCGGGUUGUAAAGCACUUUCAGCAGGGAAGAAAAGCCGCGGGUUAAUACCCCGUGGUCUUGACGUUACCUACAGAAGAAGCACCGGCUAACUCUGUGCCAGCAGCCGCGGUAAU